rnacentral:rRNA from 1 species
UAGGGAAUAUUGGACAAUGGGUGAGAGCCUGAUCCAGCCAUGCCGCGUGCAGGAAGAAGGCGUUAUGCGUUGUAAACUGCUUUUGCCAGGGGAUAAAAAGACCGUGCGCGGUUAAUUGAAGGUACCUGGUGAAUAAGCACCGGCAAACUCUGUGCCAGCAGCCGCGGUAAUACAGAGGGUGCAAGCGUUAAUCGGACUUACUGGGCGUAAAGGGUGCGUAGGCGGAAGGAUAAGUUAGUUGUGAAAGGCCUGGGCUUAACCUAGGAACUGCAAUUAAGACUGUCCAUCUAGAGUUGAGUAGAGGGGAGCGGAAUUUCCGGUGUAGCGGUGAAAUGCGUAGAUAUCGGAAGGAACAUCAGUUGCGAAGGCGGCUCUCUGGACUCAAACUGACGCUGAGGCACGAAAGCGUGGGUAGCGAACAGGAUUAGAUACCCCCGUAGUCCCUGAGCGGGCUGGCAAGGCGCAU